rnacentral:ncRNA from 1 species
UGUGGUGGAUUCGAACGAAAGUUAGAGGUUCGAAGGCGAUCAGAUACCGCCCUAGUUCUAACGGUAAACUAUGCCAACCAGCGAUUCGCCGAAGUUCAUUUAAGACUCGGCGAGCAGCUUCCGGGAAACCAAAGUGUUUCGGUUCCGGGGGAAGUAUGGUUGCAAAGCUGAAACUUAAAGGAAUUGACGGAAGGGCACCACCAGGAGUGGAGCCUGCGGCUUAAUUUGACUCAACACGGGAAAACUCACCCGGCCCGGACACUGGAAGGAUUGACAGAUUGACAGCUCUUUCUUGAUUCAGUGGGUAGUGGUGCAUGGCCGUUCUUAGUUGGUGGAGCGAUUUGUCUGGUUAAUUCCGAUAACGAACGAGACUCUACCCUAUUAAAUAGUGACAGUAUUGUAUUUUUUGUGCUGAUCACUUCUUAGAGGGACUGGCAAAUUGAAAGCUGCACGAAAAAGAGCAAUAACAGGUCUGUGAUGCCCUUCGAUGUCCGGGGCUGCACGCGCGCUACAAUGAAAGCGUCAACGUGAGUUACGUCCUUACCUGAAAAGGUUUGGCAAUCGAAUGAAACGUUUUCUUGAAUGGAAUAGGGAAUUGCAAUUGUUUCCCUUGAACGAGGAAUUCCCAGUAAGCGUGAGUCAUUAGCUCGCGUUGAUUACGUCCCUGCCCUUUGUACACACCGCCCGUCGCUACUACCGAUUGGAUGAUUUAGUGA